UUUUUUUUGCGGUGACACGCAGAUCAAUACAACUUUCAACAACGGAUCUCUUGGCUCUCGCAUCGAUGAAGAACGUAGCGAAAUGCGAUACGUAAUGUGAAUUGCAGAAUUCAGUGAAUCAUCGAAUCUUUGAACGCACCUUGCGCCCCUUGGCAUUCCGAGGGGCACACCCGUUUGAGUGUCGUGAAAUCUUCAAAACCUUUUC
rnacentral:rRNA from 1 species